rnacentral:rRNA from 1 species
AUUGAACGCUGGCGGCAUGCUUUACACAUGCAAGUCGAACGGCAGCGCGGGCUUCGGCCUGGCGGCGAGUGGCGAACGGGUGAGUAAUGCAUCGGAACGUGCCCAGCUGUGGGGGAUAGCACGGCGAAAGCAGGAUUAAUACCGCAUACGACCUGAGGGUGAAAGCGGGGGAGCGAAAGGCCUCGCGCUAUUGCAGCGGUGGAUGCGGGGUUAGCUAGUUGGUGGGGUAAAGGGUUACCAAGGCGACGAUCCGUAGCUGGUCUGAGAGGAUGAGCAGCCACACUGGAACUGAGACACGGCCCAGACUCCUACGGGAGGCAGCAGUGGGGAAUUUUGGACAACGGGGGCAACCCUGAUCCAGCCAUACCGCGUGCGUGAAGAAGGCCUUCGGGUUGUAAACCGCUUUUGUUCGGGAAGAAACCCUAUAGGCUAAUACCCCGGGGGGAUGACGGUACCGAAAGAAUAAGCACCGGCUAACUACGUG